rnacentral:rRNA from 1 species
UACGAAGGGGGCUAGCGUUGCUCGGAAUCACUGGGCGUAAAGGGUGCGUAGGCGGGUUUUUAAGUCAGGGGUGAAAUCCCGAGGCUCAACCUCGGAACUGCCUUUGAUACUGCAAAUCUCGAGUCCGGAAGAGGUGAGUGGAAUUCCUAGUGUAGAGGUGAAAUUCGUAGAUAUUAGGAAGAACACCAGUGGCGAAGGCGGCUCACUGGUCCGGUACUGACGCUGAGGUGCGAAAGCGUGGGGAGCAAACAGG